CACUGAGUAUACUUUUUGUUUGUUUCUAGGAGAGCGUCAACCCAUUGAAAAGUGUUCAGCAUACAGUGUAACCCUCUCUGCAACAGAAGAAGCAUUAGGAGAGAGCAGAAGAGAGACAGUGAAAAGGUACUCGACAGAUGUUGGUGAGACUUUAUUUCUGGAAAUGCAUUAAAGGUCACUCACAUUCUAGUUAGCCACAAAUGUAAACCUGAUUUUAGAUAGUAUUUAAAUGAGAUUAAUAACUCCAGCUACUUGCAGGCCUACAGUCCUGUAUAUUUCAAUCUAAAUUGUGAUGCAGCCUGAAUCAUAAUCACACCAUGUUCAUUUGUUAGCCAGAGGGAAACUGAUUCCUGAACUAAACAUAUUUUCUCCCACUCUUUUUUCACGUGAUGGUGUUUGUGUUCCUUGCCACUGUUGACUUUUGGCUUGCUUAUUUGUGAACCCAUAAUAUUCAGCAAUAUUAUUGAUCUGACUCCACUGACACUAUUGGAUAAGGACUGAACUUAGCUAGAUGUUGACACCACUGUUUUUCUAGAUGAGUCAACACUGAUUUCAACUGAACACUGACACUUUUUACUGUUUAGAGCUGCUUCACAGCAGAAGUGAAUUCUGUUUGCAUCAUUAUUUUUCUUUUUAUCACUGUUAAGUUAUUAAAAAUAUAUCUGACAAUAUACUGGAUAUAUACAAAAAUAGAAUAAAUCAGGAUUUUUUUUUCAGCACUGUAAACCAGUAUUUAUGUUCAGUAGUGUGACAUUAAUGUGUGUAAAUUGACAUUUUUUUAGUGUGUGAUUGCUAUUUUCAGGAAAAUGCACUAUUAACAGCUAAAAAAAGAAGACCAAAAAUAUAAUUCAACAGAAGAUGAUGGCUGUGGUGAAACAAGUAACUCAAAUAACGGAACUAAGACCUGUGGGAGUGCUGGAGAAAUCAAGUGGACCAAGUCCUCUGUCUCCUCAGCCAUGUAAGAGAUUGAGGAGUUAAAUGAAAUCAAAGAGCUAAAAGAAGAUUUACAAUAUUAGUGCCAAUUCAGUAUGAAAACAGAGAGAGAGCUGAGGGAGUGGAAAGGUAAUGAAAACUAGUUUUAUAAGCUAUUAUUCUCAAUACUUAACAUCAGGUCUCAAUAGGGUUUUUUUUUUGGCGGACUCUUUGAUUCUCUCAGAUUGACUGGAAGGUGUGCAUUAAAACAAUGAGUUUAUAGAUAAUUACAAUCAGUUCAAUCACCAUUCUAAACUAAUGUAUGGCUUUUACUGUAGCACAGUCAGAACGCUAG
rnacentral:lncRNA from 1 species